GACGAACGCUGGCGGCGUGCUUAACACAUGCAAGUCGAACGGAAAGGCCCUGCUUUUGUGGGGUGCUCGAGUGGCGAACGGGUGAGUAACACGUGAGUAACCUGCCCUUGACUUUGGGAUAACUUCAGGAAACUGGGGCUAAUACCGGGUAGGAGCUCCUGCUGCAUGGUGGGGGUUGGAAAGUUUCGGCGGUUGGGGAUGGACUCGCGGCUUAUCAGCUUGUUGGUGGGGUAGUGGCUUACCAAGGCUUAGACGGGUAGCCGGCCUGAGAGGGUGACCGGCCACAUUGGGACUGAGAUACGGCCCAGACUCCUACGGGAGGCAGCAGUGGGGAAUAUUGCACAAUGGGCGGAAGCCUGAUGCAGCAACGCCGCGUGCGGGAUGACGGCCUUCGGGUUGUAAACCGCUUUCGCCUGUGACGAAGCGUGAGUGACGGUAAUGGGUAAAGAAGCACCGGCUAACUACGUG
rnacentral:rRNA from 1 species